CGAAAUGCGAUAAGUAAUGUGAAUUGCAGAAUUCCGUGAAUCAUCGAAUCUUUGAACGCACAUUGCGCCCUCUGGCAUUCCUGGGGGCAUGCCUGUCCGAGCGUCAUUACGCACCCUCAAGCCCGGCUUGUGUGAUGGGCCCCGGCGUCUCGUUCGCGAGACGGGCCCGAAAGGCAGCGGCGGCGUCGACCCGAUGAGCCCGAGCGUAUGGGGACUUCUGUCACACGUUCGCGGUGCGGACCGGCGCCUGCUUGACUUUUCUGAUUAUCCAGGUUGACCUCGGAUCAGGUAGGGAUACCCGCUGAACUUAAGC
rnacentral:misc_RNA from 1 species